GACGAACGCUGGCGGCGUGCUUAACACAUGCAAGUCGAACGGAAAGGCCCUGCUUUCGUGCGGUGCUCGAGUGGCGAACGGGUGAGUAACACGUGAGUAACCUGCCCUUGACUUUGGGAUAACUUCAGGAAACUGGGGCUAAUAUCGGAUAGGAGCUCCUGCUGCAUGGUGGGGGUUGGAAAGUUGCGGCGGUUGGGGAUGGACUGGCGGCUUAUCGGCUGGCUGGUGGGGUAGUGGCUUACCAAGGCUUUGACGGGUAGCCGGCCUGGGAGGGUGGCCGGCCACCAGGGGCCUAAGGGAGGGCGCAGACGCCUACAGGGGACAGCAGGGGGAAGUAUUGCACAAUGAGCGGGAGCCUGAGGCAGCAGCGCCGCGGUCGUGAAGACGGCCUUCUGGGUGAAAACCGCUGUCGCCUAUGACGAAGCUUGAGUGACGGUAAUGGGUAAAGAAGCACCGGCUAACUACGUG
rnacentral:rRNA from 1 species